AAAAGGGAAAAAUUGCGCCAUUUGCCAAACAAGAAAUACGUAAAUUGAAAGUGGUUCCGAAUAGUCAUGUACCAACGACGAUUUAAACAUAGGACAGUUAAAGUUAGACCAAACACUAGACAAAAAACGACAAAUUAAUCUCCCCUGAGGAAGACACAAUCCCCGUGUCGAAACGUUGGGUUGAAACAAAACUCGUUUUAAUCAUUCCAAGACUGCUUAGCCGUAAAUUCCACAGUUAAAAUAAACAGUCGA